rnacentral:lncRNA from 1 species
UUAGGAGCCUCUAGAGGAUCCUCAGCAGAAAAUAUUGCUCAAAACUCAGGACAUUCAGAAGAAGUCACCAGGUAUGACAAACUGAUAAAAGAUUUCUAUUAAGUACCCCCUUUGUGCAAGACAAUAAGUAUGAUCUUAUUUUCCAGUCACAAGAAGAUUAGUUGCAUCUGGCACUUGAUAAGCUAAUACUGAAAAACUACUUUUAAAAUCACCCAUUUACUUUUAAAUAUUAUGUAGUUUAAGUAUUUUUAAUCUUUAAACUACAUCUGAAAAUUAUAGAACACAAAAUAUCUUUCAAAGAAAGCAUUUUUUGCUUUCUAGCCCAAUAUAAAAGUUAAUUUAAUAAUUUAUUUUAUUUCAGAUCUCCAGAUAAUCAAAAAAAAGAAACUGAAAGAAGAGUUUGACUCAACAUCAAAGCAAGAAGAAAUUUAUCAUGUCUCUUUAGACUUCAUUCCUAUAGUAGGAACAUGUUGCAAAUAAUAUAGAGUUAAAUGAAACUGACUAUGACAAUGUUUUAUUGGAUUUUUGUAUUGCACUAUAGUACUACAAAUUUAGCCUAAAACAUCUGAAUCCAUGAAAAUAAAAUAUCUUCUAAACGCUUAGAAAUAUCAACCAUUAUCCAUAACAUAAACUGUAAAAAUUUUUCCUGUUGCCCACUACUCCACAAGAAUAGUGCUAUCAUAGAAUCAAAAUGUAGUUGUUUCUGAUGAGAAAAUAAUUGCAAGCUUAAAGAAAUCUUUCAUGCUGAAUAAAUGCAAGAUAAUAUUUACUAAAAUUCCAGGGAAACUUUCCAACAUAGUUAAACAGAUUAUAAGCAAUAAAGAUGAUUGUGUUGAAAAGUAGGGUUCAACUUGCUAUGUAAAAGUACAUUUUAUGCUUUUAGCUGGUAUUACAUAACCUGGUUAUCCAUGUUAAUUUUGAAAGUUUAAGCAAAUCCUUCAAUCUCAGUACCCUUCUUUAAUGUAUCUUGCAAAUGAAAAGACAUGAUUGAAAUUGAAAUUGAAAUUGUUGUAUGUAUAACUUCUGGAGACCUGCAGGUCCAUGAAUGUAGUACGUU